rnacentral:rRNA from 1 species
GAAACUGCGAAUGGCUCAUUAUAUAAGUUAUCGUUUAUUUGAUAGUGCCUUACUACAUGGAUAACCGUGGUAAUUCUAGAGCUAAUACAUGCUAAAAAUCCCGACUCCGGAAGGGAUGUGUUUAUUAGAUUAAAAACCAAUGCCCUCACGGGCUCUUUGGUGAUUCAUGAUAACCUCACGAAUCGCACGGCCUUGCGCCGGCGAUGGCUCAUUCAAAUUUCUUCCCUAUCAACUUUCGAUGUUUGGGUAUUGGCCAAACAUGGUUGCAACGGGUAACGGAGGGUUAGGGCUCGACCCCGGAGAAGGAGCCUGAGAAACGGCUACUACAUCCAAGGAAGGCAGCAGGCGCGCAAAUUACCCAAUCCCGACUCGGGGAGGUAGUGACAAUAAAUACUGAUACAGGGCUCUUUAGGGUCUUGUAAUUGGAAUGAGUACAAUUUAAAUCUCUUAACGAGGAACAAUUGGAGGGCAAGUCUGGUGCCAGCAGCCGCGGUAAUUCCAGCUCCAAUAGCGUAUAUUAAAGUUGUUGUGGUUAAAAAGCUCGUAGUUGAACCUUGGGCCUGGCUGGCCGGUCCGCCUCAC